GAUGAACGCUGGCGGCGUGCCUAAUACAUGCAAGUCGAGCGAACAGACGAGGAGCUUGCUCCUCUGACGUUAGCGGCGGACGGGUGAGUAACACGUGGAUAACCUACCUAUAAGACUGGGAUAACUUCGGGAAACCGGAGCUAAUACCGGAUAAUAUAUUGAACCGCAUGGUUCAAUAGUGAAAGACGGUUUUGCUGUCACUUAUAGAUGGAUCCGCGCCGCAUUAGCUAGUUGGUAAGGUAACGGCUUACCAAGGCGACGAUGCGUAGCCGACCUGAGAGGGUGAUCGGCCACACUGGAACUGAGACACGGUCCAGAAUCCUACGGGAGGCAGCAGUAGGGAAUCUUCCGAAAUGGGCGAAAGCCUGACGGAGCAACGCCGCGUGAGUGAUGAAGGUCUUCGGAUCGUAAAACUCUGUUAUUAGGGAAGAACAAAUGUGUAAGUAACUAUGCACGUCUGGACGGUACCUAAUCAGAAAGCCACGGCUAACUACGU
rnacentral:rRNA from 1 species